UGAUAGACUCCGAGACACGGUGGAGAAAAUCAGAGGACAUGAAGGUGACUCUGCUCCAGUCCCAACUCAUUUAUACCUGAUAAUAACAAGCUGUGAACGAGAGAACACCACAGUGGAGGAGUGUGAUGGCUCCAUUUCCACGGUUUCUUUCAUCCUUCCACAUCGGCCUGAUAACUCAGAAAGCUGCCACAGUUCGGAGGAGCCAUCUCAAUGGGUGGAGGAGAUCCUGCGCACUCACACGGCUCGUGUACGUGACGUGGAACUGCUCACCGGACUCGACUUCUACCGCUCGCUGUCGCUGCCCUACACAAACACGCUUGCGCUGAAAACCUAUCUGCACACGUUCGAGGAAAACAUCUAACACCUGGUGGCGCAGCAUUACUAAACACCACAUCACUUCUCUUCCUGAUGAUUAGGUGUAUAGUUUUUAUACAGUUUAUCAUAUUUAUUGUUCAUUUCAAACUAAAUAACGAUGGUACAGCAUUUCAAACAGUUCAACUUU